rnacentral:rRNA from 1 species
AAUCAACGCUGGCGGCGUGCCUCAGACAUGCAAGUCGAACGAUUAAAGCUCUCUUCGGAGAGUGCAUAGAGUGGCGCACGGGUGAGUAACACGUAAGUAAUCUACCCUCGAGUGGGGAAUAACGUCCGGAAACGGACGCUAAUACCGCAUAAUGCAGCGGCACCGCAAGGUGACAGUUGUUAAAGAUUUAUCGCUUGAGGAGGAGCUUGCGGCAGAUUAGCUAGUUGGUAAGGUAAUGGCUUACCAAGGCUACGAUCUGUAACCGGUCUUAGAGGACGGUCGGUCACACUGACACUGAAUAACGGGUCAGACUCCUACGGGAGGCAGCAGUCGGGAAUUUUGGGCAAUGGGCGAAAGCCUGACCCAGCAACGCCGCGUGAAGGAUGAAGUAUUUCGGUAUGUAAACUUCGAAAGAAUAGGAAGAAUAAAUGACGGUACUAUUUAUAAGGUCCGGCUAACUACGUGCCAGCAGCCGCGGUAAAGUGACGCUCCU